rnacentral:tRNA from 1 species
GUGGGUAUAGCUCAGUGGUAGAGUGCAUGCUUAGCAUGCAUGAGGUCCUGGGUUCAAUCCCCAGUACCUCCA